rnacentral:lncRNA from 1 species
AACCUAAUUGAACCCCUGCAACUCCUCCCCAAAAAUCCCACACAAACCCUAGGGUAUUCCGGGUGUUACGACGCGAUUCUAGUGCUGAAAAGUCCGGACAGCUUGCUAGUUUCUCUUUCUCCUUUUUGCAGCCGUGUUGAGGAACUUAUUUUUGAUGAAAAAGGACCAGGUUUCGUGGGUUAUACUCAGUACAAUGUAAUUUUAUGCUUCUCCUUCCAUUAUCUAUGCGUUUGCGAGUUGUAACUCGAUCGUAAAGAAUAGACCUAGCUAGUUUCGAAAGAAUGGUAUGUUGUUUGUUAUUGUGUAAUGGUUGCCUGGUUGUAAACUUAUUUUUAAGUUGAAUUCAUGGCUGGUUUAUUGGAUAAGAGGUAUAAUGAUGUACUUUUGGUUGUAUUUCCCAAUUUGAAAGAAAAGACAAGUCGAAACGUGUUUAAGUAAACUGAAAAAUUAUUUUUGAGUUGAUGAACUUGUGGGAAUAUUUUUGGUCUGUUUCGUGUUGGUAUUGGGUUGUCUCUUUUACUAAUAUUUUUAUGGAUUUGAGAGGAGGAAGGUUGUGGAGAAACACCACAUAAUGACAAGGUUGUUUGUUGGUCGUUCGUCGUAACAUUUUCGGGUUGGUUGACACUAUUAUGGUUGUCGUAUUGUGUAUGAAGUGAUUGGGGUAUGUUGGGCUGUUUGUGAUUGUUUUGACUAGUGUGAAGUCAUAUAUAUAGGGGAGGUUCUGUCCAUUUCAUUGUAAAAUAUGUUGUGGUCGAUACAUAAUAGUUACGACGCUUAAACGAUAACGAGAGUGUCAUUUCUCUUAUUGUAGACUAAGGAGCCGUGAAAUGGCAUAGCUUGAGGUUGGGAAGAAUAUACAAGGUAUGUUAAGGCACUUACUUCUUUCUUUUGGCAUGAUCUAAAGUGACAUGAACAUAAACGGUACGCUAAUUUAUAACUGAUCUACUCCUAGAAACUAAGGUUGUUCAUGUUGUUCUUUCCUUAUAAAGUUAUUCUAAACAAGUGUGUAUGAUCCUUAAAUCCUACUAAGGUUCAUAUUGAUGGUGGGGAUGCCCAUAAUGACCUUAAGUCACUCUAAAAGGUUUAGAACGUGAUUCUAUGAGUCUAGCAUGCAUUAUAUAUAGUAUCUAUUUUACUCUACCGAGCCGCGCUAUAGUCGGUCGGGUAUGGCACCUAUUGUGCAACCACUGAUCAGUUGGGUUUACCGAGCUCCACGUGGCCAGGUACGAUUCUACCGAGCCUUAUAAUGGUCGGGUACGUUUUUACUGAAUCCUCUUUGAGGCCGGGUACGAUAUGAUGAUGAUGAUGCCCACAGAGGCGAAUGUUUUUAAAAA